GAUCCACAUGUGCCUUGGGAAGUGUGGUCUGGAAAAGGUUCUUAUAUUGUGUUUGCUUGGCAGCAGCCACUUGAGGUACAGGACAGUGUUGUCUCCAGACCCAAGGGCAUGCUCUGCAGCACCAGCAGUUCUCACAUGGAGUUUCUACAGUUCUGCUUGCUGUGACCUUCUGGGCCAUCAGGGAAACACAACGGGGUCCUGCCAGCCUCGUGCGAUGAACCAUCACUUGCCAGGAUUCACACCAGGCUUCCUGGGAUGCUGUGUUGCUGCUUGGAAUCCUGAUUGCUUCUGCUUGCUCACUGUGCUGCUGGCAGGAUGGGAUUGAUGUCCAGUUUGGCACAUUGGGCAGAGCCAAGCCCAUAACCAUCCUCUGUGCCCUUGGCAGACUGGGGAACCAAGCUAGACCCCUCUCUCUAGAGGGGUUCCAGGUGAGCAAGGGACAGGCUUGGUGCUGUCCAUAUUUAUUCUGGUGGGAAAAGCCACCUCCUUCACCCUUUCCACCUGGGAACUGUGUAACUGCUGGGGAUGACACCACAUGGAUGCAGGGCCAACGGCCUGGCAUCAAGGCACUAGCUGAGCCUGAGCACUAUCGCAGGGCACAGAGCUGCCUUAGGGGGUGCCAGCAUCCCCAGCACGGCUGCACUCCAGGCAUGUAGGUUCUGGGCACAGGAGAGGUCCUGUCAGCAAUGGGCCGUCUGGAUGACCAUGCCAAGAGGAGGAUUGUGGAGCUGCGCAGGGCUGGGCUGAGCUUCCGCAAGAUCAAGAAGGUGCUGGAGCUGGAUGACAUCCGGGUGACGCCGCAGGCCGUGUACCUCUUCCUCAAGAGGAAGAGCGUGGAACCAGGGUCAGUGGCAGCUGGCUGGGAUGGGGAUCAGCCCUGGCCCCCACUGCAGGGGCAUGAGGCUGAGCCCCCCAGGCUGCUGGGUACCCGGCACCCUGCACUGCCCACUGGGGAUCCUAUGGGCAGCCAGGUGCCCUGCUCUGCUGGCAGCCAGGACACCAAGGAAGGCAUCCAGAUUGUCGGUGUGGCCUCGCUCUGCAAGGACGGUGGGCAGCUUGGGGACACUCUGCCUCUGGGGCUGGCCCCUGGGAAUGGUGAUGACAGUUCCACAGGCAAAGCCCUGACUCCAGGGACUGCUCUGGGGGGCCCGGCCCCCCUGCCCCAGAUACUGCCAGGCCGAGUGCAGCUGGUCACACCCCCGACCCAGAACUCAGCCCUGAUGGUGAAAAAGAAGACUCUGGACAGGGCUAUCCUGCAGAAAAAGGUCAAAGAUGCCAGCACUCAGACUGGCUUGCCAAACCCUGUGGGUCCAGGACAUCACAACCUUGCUUGGGGUGGAACUGUGCCCCCCACUGCUCCCAGCUUCCCCAGCAUCACUGAGAAGCUGGAUGCUGUACAGAGGGAGGUGCAGAAGCUGAGCCAGGCCCUGCAUACAGUAUUGGAGCGGCAGUGCCACCUGGAACGCCAGCAGGAGCACCAACAGCGGCUGCAGCAGGAGGUGCUGAUGACACUGCAGCAGCUCAGCUCCACUGUGAGCCAUGGCUCUGUGCCAGCCACCCAGCCCUGUGGCCCCUUCAGCAGUGUGGCCGAGCCCUUGCCCACCAUGCCAAACUUCAGCCAGUUCAAGAUGGAGCUGAUCUGA
rnacentral:lncRNA from 1 species